UAAACUGACAGUUUAAGGCGAGCUGUGCUGAAUUUGGACUUGUGCCACAAACACUGCGCACUUCCUGUGACAAACCAUUUUCAAGCCAGGUUCAUUUUUGAU